CCUUUUCUUUCUUGCCUUCCUUCCUUAAUGGCAUCCUUGAGCCUUUUUUAUUCCCUUCUUCAGCUCACCUUCAUCAUCUUCUGCUCUCUCUUACUCUACUCCCAGCUCUGAUCACAGAAGAGAGAGACAGACAGACAGACAGACAGACAGAGACCAUGUUUGCUCCGCCAGGCUAUCAGCAAGUGUCGCACGUCGAUCACGUCCGUCGACGCCAUGAAGAAAAGGGCUGCCUCUACGCCUGCCUGUUCGCGCUGUGUUGCUGCUUCUGCUGCUUCGAGACUUGCGAGUAUUGCUUGGAGAUGAUCUGUUGCUGCUGCUCCUAAAACAAACAACACCACAUGAACAUCAUCAUGUGUGCGUAUCACUCCCUCGGUGCCCAUGAUGUUCUCUAAGAUUGUGGCUUCUUCUGUGUAUCUUACUAUGAAAUAAUAUGAAGCCUCACUUCUUGUGUAUCUUCUAAUAUACCUGAAGAAGUUCCAUGGCAAUUCUGGGUUAACACAUUUCCUU